AAAAAUAGACCUUUCUUUGAAUUUUGUAAAUUCGGAUCGAAUUUUUAAAAGAUUACCCAAAAUACCCUUAUUCGCUGUACUCUUAAUUUUUUUUUUCUAUCGUUGUUUUCUUUUCAUUCUCUCCGAAGAGGACGACGGAGGCGGAGGCGGAGCCAGAGGCGGAGGCGGCCUGCCUUGCCUUUCUCCUGCGUGCCCUCGCCCUCGCCUACGCACCUUCCCUUCGUUUUUCUCACCUCCAAUCCCGCCAAAGCCGCAUCUCGACUCUCUCUUUUUUUUCUCUCCAACUCCCCUCCACCGCCUCCCCGGCCCUUUACAACAAUAAAGAGGACAGCGUCAUGUCGACUUUCUCUCCUUUUUUUUCUCUCGUUCUUUUUUUCUCUUCGACCUGCAUCUACCAUUUCCGCGACCGUCCACGACGGUAACGAGGACAGCACAGCAUCCUCUUCAUCCGCCUUCACCGACACAA
rnacentral:lncRNA from 1 species